rnacentral:rRNA from 1 species
UACGUAGGUGGCAAGCGUUGUUCGGAAUUAUUGGGCGUAAAGGGCGCGUAGGCGGCUUGUUAAGUCAGUUGUGAAAGCCCGGGGCUCAACCCCGGAGGGUCGACUGAUACUGGUGAGCUGGAGUACAGAAGAGGUAGCUGGAAUUCCCGGUGUAGCGGUGAAAUGCGUAGAGAUCGGGAGGAAGGCCGGUGGCGAAGGCGGCGCUCUGGAACAUUUCUGACGCUGAGGCUCGAAAGCGUGGGGAGCAAACAGG